UUGAAGGGUCAAAUAAUAUUAAACUACUUGGAUUAGGAAUUGCAAUUUGCCCUGAAUGACCCGAAACCCAUGGUGCACUACCCUAUUUUCCCCCCCAAAAUCAGAGUUGCAAGAUAGGCUUGGGACAAUAGUUUAAAAUCUGAAUUAGUAUAUAUAUAUAUAUAUAUAUAUUUUAUAUAAUUUCAUUUAUGUAAAUGUAAAACCUAACAAAAACAACCCUCAUUUUCUUCUUGCCGACAUCACCUUUACUUCACAAAAAGCUGCUGCCGCACCAUUCACCAAAUUGCCGUCACCAAGCUUCACCACCACCAAUCUGCCGACUAUCACCCAUCUUUACUUCAUAGGAAUCACAGCCCGCACAAUCCCAACCUCGACACCUAGCAAGGAGCCCUACCCAUAUAUCUCUAUCUCACACUAAACCAUGUUUGUGUGUGUCUCUCACAGUCUUAGAUCAUGAUCUACUUGAAGCUUGUAAUUAAAACCAAAGUGACCCUUUUUUACAUUCUUCCAUGGAGACUUAAGGAAAUAAGAAGUAAUACUUUAUUA